rnacentral:rRNA from 1 species
UACAGAGGUGGCAAGCGUUGUUCGGAAUUACUGGGCGUAAAGGGCGCGUAGGCGGCCUUCUAAGUCAGACGUGAAAUCCCCCGGCUCAACCUGGGAACUGCGUCUGAUACUGGAGGGCUUGAAUGCGGGAGAGGGAUGUGGAAUUCCAGGUGUAGCGGUGAAAUGCGUAGAUAUCUGGAGGAACACCGGUGGCGAAGGCGGCAUCCUGGACCGACAUUGACGCUGAGGCGCGAAAGCUAGGGUAGCAAACGGG